AAAGAGUUAAUUAAUUAAUAAAGUUAUUGUAGUAAAAAUAUUUUUAAUAAUUAAUUAGAAAUGAAAUGUUAAUCGUUUUUAAAUAUAUCUAGUUUUUUUAGAAAAAAAUUUAAUUUUAAAUUUUAAUUUAAAAUAAAUUAAUUAAUUAAUUUAUUUUAAAUUAAAAUUUUAUAUUUUAAGGGAUAAGCUUUAAAUUAAAAAUUUAUAAUAAUAAUUAUUUAUUUAUUAAAAAUUUUAUAAUUUAUAUUGUUAAAAAAUUUUAAUUUAUUAUAAAUAAUUUUAUUAUUUACAAUAAAAAUUUAAUUUUAAUUUAAUUUUUUAUAAAAAAAUAUAUUUUAAUAAUAAAAAUUUAGUUAUAAUGAUAAAAUUAGUAUAUAAAAUAAUUAAUUAACAAUAAAAUAUAUUUUUUUUUAUAAUUUAAUUAAAAAAAAAGGAAUUCGGCAAAAUUUUAUAUUCACUUGUUUAACAAAAACAUGUCUUUUUGAAAUUAAUUUAAAGUCUAAUCUGCCCACUGAUUAAAAUUAAAGGGCUGCAGUAUAUUGACUGUACAAAGGUAGCAUAAUCAUUAGUCAUUUAAUUGAUGACUUGUAUGAAAGAUUGAAUGAAAUAUAAACUGUCUCUUUAUUAAUUUAUAUAAUUUAAUUUUUUAAUCAAAAAGUUAAAAUAAUUUAAAAAGACGAGAAGACCCUAUAGAGUUUUAUAAAAAAUUUUAUUUAUAUUUAUUUAUAAAUUUAUUAAUAGAUAAUUAAAUUGAUUUAUUUUAUUGGGGUGAUAGAAAAAUAUAAAAAACUUUUUUUAAAAUUUAACAUAUAUAAGUGAAUAUAUGAUCCAAUUUUGUUGAUUAUAAGAAAAAAUUACCUUAGGGAUAACAGCGUAAUUUUUCUUUUUAGUUCAAAUAAAAAGAAAAGUUUGCGACCUCGAUGUUGGAUUAAGAUAAAAUUUAAAUGCAAAAGUUUAAAAUUUUG
rnacentral:rRNA from 1 species